rnacentral:rRNA from 1 species
AGUGUAGGCGGCUAUUUAAGUCGGAUGUGAAAGCCCCGGGCUCAACCUGGGAAUUGCAUUCGAUACUGGGUAACUAGAGUUUGGUAGAGGUAAGUGGAAUUCCGGGUGUAGCGGUGAAAUGCGUAGAUAUCCGGAGGAACAUCAGUGGCGAAGGCGGCUUACUGGACCAAAACUGACGCUGAGGCUCGAAAGCGUGGGGAGCGAACAGGAUUAGAUACCCUGGUAGUCC